rnacentral:rRNA from 1 species
ACGGCCCCGUGAAACGGGCCGCCCCCGCCAGAGGACCCCUAACUCUGUUUCUAUAAUGUUUCUUCUGAGUAAAACAAGCAAAUAAAUUAAAACUUUCAACAACGGAUCUCUUGGCUCUGGCAUCGAUGAAGAACGCAGCGAAAUGCGAUAAGUAAUGUGAAUUGCAGAAUUCAGUGAAUCAUCGAAUCUUUGAACGCACAUUGCGCCCGCCAGUAUUCUGGCGGGCAUGCCUGUUCGAGCGUCAUUACAACCCUCAGGCCCCCGGGCCUGGCGUUGGGGAUCGGCGGAGCCCCCCGUGGGCACACGCCGUCCCCCAAAUACAGUGGCGGUCCCGCCGCAGCUUCCAUCGCGUAGUAGCUAACACCUCGCGACUGGAGAGCGGCGCGGCCACGCCGUAAAACACCCAACUCUUCUGAAGUUGACCUCGAAUCAGGUAGGAAUACCCGCUGAACUUAAGCAUAU